rnacentral:rRNA from 1 species
AUACGUAGGGAGCGAGCGUUGUCCGGAAUUACUGGGUGUAAAGGGAGCGUAGGCGGGAGGGCAAGUCAGAUGUGAAAUACAUGGGCUCAACCCAUGGGCUGCAUUUGAAACUGCAUUUCUUGAGUGAAGUAGAGGUAAGCGGAAUUCCUGGUGUAGCGGUGAAAUGCGUAGAUAUCAGGAGGAAAACCGGUGGCGAAGGCGGCUUACUGGGCUUUUACUGACGCUGAGGCUCGAAAGCGUGGGGAGCAAACAGGAUUAGAUACCCUGGUAGUCCACGCUGUAAACGAUGAUUACUAGGUGUGGGGGGACUGACCCCUUCCGUGCCGCAGUUAACACAAUAAGUAAUCCACCUGGGGAGUACGGCCGCAAGGUUGAAACUCAAAUGAAUUGACGGGG